UCUGGUGGCGAUGGCGAGAAGGUCACACCCGUUCCCAUACCGAACACGGAAGUUAAGCUUCUCAGCGCC
rnacentral:rRNA from 1 species